rnacentral:rRNA from 1 species
AGUGAACGCUGGCGGUAGGCCUAACACAUGCAAGUCGAACGGCAGCACAGUAAGAGCUUGCUCUUACGGGUGGCGAGUGGCGGACGGGUGAGGAAUACAUCGGAAUCUACUUUUUCGUGGGGGAUAACGUAGGGAAACUUACGCUAAUACCGCAUACGACCUACGGUUGAAAGCAGGGGAUCUUCGGACCUUUCGCGAUUGAAUGAGCCGAUGUCGGAUUAGCUAGUUGGCGGGGUAAAGGCCCACCAAGGCGACGAUCCGUAGCUGGUCUGAGAGGAUGAUCAGCCACACUGAAACUGGGACACGGUCCAGACUCCUACGGGAGGCAGCAGUGGGGAAUAUUGGACAAUGGGCGCAAGCCUGAUCCAGCCAUACCGCGUGGGUGAAGAAGGCCUUCGGGUUGUAAAGCCGUUUUUUUGGGAAAGAAAAGCAGCAGGUUAAUACCCCGCUGUUCUGACGGUACCCAAAGAAUAAGCACCGGCUAACUUCGUG